ensembl:lncRNA
AAAGAGCAGAGAGAAGAGAGCUUAUAAUGAUGGCAUCUGCGUUAUGGAGGACCUGUCUUGAAUCCUGUCCUCUCUCUCCUGAAUAAGAUACAUCUGAGAAUGUGCAGAGAGGGAGUAGAUGAUCCACAGUGAAUAACAGGUCUACAGAAAACAUCUUAAUAGCCUCACGUCUGCAAGAUCAUGAUGAGUUCAUUUGUCUGUCUGGGAUCAUGAGAAAAUUACCACUGGCCAAGGUACAUCCAUCAGCUCACCACCAUUUUCCUUUCUCCUACACAAGCGUGUAUAGAGGAACUUUACAACCUAGCCAUCACUAUUGGAUUCUCCAACCUCUCAGCCAACAAAACACCACCCUCAAGAGAUAAUAAGCUUAGUCUGAAGUGAGAACAGUCUCCACCCACCAAUAGACCAAAAUAGCUUUUUUUCUUCUUUAUGUCUUUUUUUCUUACUCACAGCCUAACAUAGCAAUUCAAGGAGCAGAACAAUUUCUAUUCAUAUAUAACACACG